rnacentral:rRNA from 1 species
UACGAAGGGGGCUAGCGUUGCUCGGAAUUACUGGGCGUAAAGCGUGCGCAGGCGGCUCCUUAAGUCAGAUGUGAAAGCCCCGGGCUUAACCUGGGAACUGCGUUUGAAACUGGGGAGCUAGAGUGUGGAAGAGGGGGGUGGAAUUCCAGGUGUAGCAGUGAAAUGCGUAGAGAUCUGGAGGAACACCAGAGGCGAAGGCGGCCUACUGGGUCAGUACUGACGCUGAGCCGCGAAAGCCAGGGGAGCGAACGGG